UACGGGGGGAGCAAACGUUGUUCGGAAUCACUGGGCGUAAAGGGCGUGUAGGCGGCUGAAUAAGUGGGAUGUUAAAUCCCCCGGCUCAACCGGGGACCUGCAUCUCAUACUGUUCAGCUCGAGCACAUCAGAGGAGACUGGAAUUCCCGGUGUAGCGGUGAAAUGCGUAGAUAUCAGGAGGAACACCGGUGGUGUAGACGGCUUUCUGGACCGUAACUGACGCUGAGGCACGAAAGCCAGGGGAGCGAACGGG
rnacentral:rRNA from 1 species